rnacentral:lncRNA from 1 species
AAGAAGAUCCGCGGCCACCAAUCCCGACACCAAUCUCCUCGACGACUAAGCCGAUCGAUCGAAUGCCUCUCCUUAGAAUCCAAAAUCUUGUGACAACACCCAUCCAUCUCCGGAUGCGCCACUGUGAAUAAAAAUUUCCCCCCCAUUCGAUUCCACAUUUUAGGGUUUAUGGGGUUUUGCGAGCGAUGGCUAUGGCGCACCUCGCCAAGAAAGUGCCAUUCCUCUGCCGGCGGUCAAGAAGGGCAUUUUUCACACAAAUUUUCCAAAGGACGCAGGGUAUCACUUCCGGAUUUGCGCUCUUCCAGGUCUGUUUCUAGAGUUCAUCUAUCAAGAUCAACCAUGGUGUGAGUUCUUGCGCGACGCUUCGAUCGCUUCUUUCUAGAAUUUUAUUUUUUCUUCUCAGACAUUUUCGCGGCUUUUCAGGUGUUUUCGAGUUCGAUCGGACAAUUUCUUGGAGGAAGUUGCUCUUCAUGCAAGUUCUUCGAGGAGCAUUUGGAGCGAUCUUUCUCUAGAACUGUGCAGCGGUCGUGAAGGUUUGUCCGAAUUUCCAAUUUUGCGGCACUGCGUCGAGAGCUAUCCUACUCUCGCCAUCGCUGGUACUCACAACGAAAGACAGGCCUUGCUCUAGCAUCGACCGGUUGGAAAUAUGCCAGUUCUGGCCCCAAGCGCGAGUCGCCGGCGUCCACGGAGAUCGUGAUCCUUUGACAACCACGCUCCGGAC